UACCAGCACCCCGAGUGGUCGGGACGUUUAUUGGGCCUAAAGCAUCCGUAGCCGGUUCUACAAGUCUUCCGUUAAAUCCACCUGCUUAACAGAUGGGCUGCGGAAGAUACUAUGGAGCUAGGAGGCGGGAGAGGCAAGCGGUACUCGAUGGGUAGGGGUAAAAUCCGUUGAUCCAUUGAAGACCACCAGUGGCGAAGGCGGCUUGCCAGAACGCGCUCGACGGUGAGGGAUGAAAGCUUGGGGAGCAAACCGG
rnacentral:rRNA from 1 species